GACGAACGCUGGCGGCGUGCCUAAUACAUGCAAGUAGAACGCUGAAGAGAGGAGCUUGCUCUUCUUGGAUGAGUUGCGAACGGGUGAGUAACGCGUAGGUAACCUGCCUUGUAGCGGGGGAUAACUAUUGGAACGAUAGCUAAUACCGCAUAACAAUGGAUGACACAUGUCAUUUAUUUGAAAGGGGCAAUUGUUCCACUACAAGAUGGACCUGCGUUGUAUUAGCUAGUUGGUGGGGUAACGGCCCACCAAGGCGACGAUACAUAGCCGACCUGAGAGGGUGAUCGGCCACACUGGGACUGAGACACGGCCCAGACUCCUACGGGAGGCAGCAGUAGGGAAUCUUCGGCAAUGGGGGCAACCCUGACCGAGCAACGCCGCGUGAGUGAAGAAGGUUUUCGGAUCGUAAAGCUCUGUUGUAAGAGAAGAACGUGUGUGAGAGUGGAAAGUUCACACAGUGACGGUAACUUACCAGAAAGGGACGGCUAACUACGUGCCAGCAGCC
rnacentral:rRNA from 1 species